CCUUCGAUAGCUCAGUUGGUAGAGAGGAGGACUGUAGAUCCUUAGGUCGCUGGUUCGAAUCCGGCUCGAAGGA
rnacentral:tRNA from 1 species